CCCUUAGAUGUUCUGGGCCGCACGCGCGCUACACUGAUGCAUUCAACGAGCCUAGCCUUGACCGGGAGGUCCGGGUAAUCUUUGAAACUGCAUCGUGAUGGGGCUAGAUUAUUGCAAUUAUUAAUCUUCAACGAGGAAUGCCUAGUAAGCGUGAUUCAUCAAAUCGCGUUGAUUACGUCCCUGCCCUUUGUACACACCGCCCGUCGCUACUACAGAGUGCCCGUGUCCAAGAAACGGUCGGACCUGUGCGGCCUCUCCGGGCGACCGGAGGGCCGUUACGGGGAAGACCCUUUAUUUGACGCGGGUCGAUGAAGUAAAAGUCGUAACA
rnacentral:rRNA from 1 species